UACGUAGGGGGCAAGCGUUGUCCGGAUUUAUUGGGCGUAAAGAGCGUGUAGGCGGCCAAGCAGGUCAGCUGUGAAAACUCGAGGCUCAACCUCGAGACGUCGGUUGAAACCGCUUGGCUAGAGUCCGGAAGAGGAGAGUGGAAUUCCCGGUGUAGCGGUGAAAUGCGUAGAGAUCGUGAGGAAGACCAGUGGCGAAGGCGGGUCUCUGGACAGUUCCUGACACUGAGGCACGAAGGCCAGGGGAGCAAACGGG
rnacentral:rRNA from 1 species